rnacentral:misc_RNA from 1 species
AGAUGAUCUACCGCAAGUGGUCGCUGCUCUCCUCCACCAUCCUCAUCUGGGGCGGCGCCGCCACCGCCGGCCUCGCCGGGGUCUUCCUCUUCAACGCCAAGGAGAAGUUCCAGAAGUAUCUUUCCGGUGAAGGCCAGAGGCUCAGGCAGCAGGACAGAGCGGCGAUGGGCAAGAACUAGCGAAAGACCUCAGGCAAUUUCGAUGGGCAAGAACUAGCGAAA